AAACCAUUCAAUAUUUAUCCCUAAAAUAUCUCCUUAUCAACAUAUUAUACGAUCAAAAUCCUCAUUCCUGAAAAAACGAAACCCCCUUCCUCUACGAACCACAACCCACCUAUUCGAAUCUGCUGUCGCUGUGAGACACCAUCGCCGCCGAGGGUCGUCAGAAACCCUUGCAAAGUGUCUCCAUCCUCGAUGAUCUUCUCGUCCGUGGUUUCCAUCGUCGUUGAAGGUCUUUUCGUCAGUGCCACUGGUGGUUUCCUUCGUCGUCGUCCGAAAUCAUCCCAGUUUGUCGGCUCGUGGUUCGUGUUCCAACCAUCCAUCUGUUCGUCAAUUCAUGUGUAAACUCUCUUUCUCUGUUUAUUUUCCCUUGUUUGGAAUGAUUUUGAAAUCAAUUCUAAUUUGUUUGGAUGCAAAGUAAAUAUCGUUUGGAUGCAAAAGUAAAUGUCUAUUGAAUACAUCCACUUCAGUUCGAAUUGAUUUGGAUGCAAAAGUAAAUCAAAAAAUUAUAAAUCAAUUAUGAUUACAAACGUUUUUCCCCCAAAGAAUUUCUAUACCAAAUUGAUAGGAUUUACAAAUUAAUCAUGGUAGCUUUUAAAGUUUCUUUAUAAAAAAAUUUUAAAGUUUCUUUUUAAUAGAAAUAUUCAGAGGAAAAUGUAAAAGAGAGCCGUGAAAGAACACAAAGAAAGAAAGAAAAGUCGAAGAUUAGAGAAGAAGAAUGAAGGAUUUUACAUUGAAAUUGGGAGGUUCAAAAGCACCCACUCCUUUGAAAUCGAAAUCUUAACUUAGUCGCACAAAUUCACAAUGCUUGCAAUUUUCCUUAGGUUUAGGACUUCAAUUCAACCUAAACAAACCAUAACAAAUGCAUUGGUUGUUUCCAUUUGAGUCAAAGCUUGUAAAAUUUUUUUACUCUUGCAAAUAAGUGAUGAGUCAAAUUAAGUUUAAAAUUUUCUCCGUAAACGAUUCAAUAAAUCUUAUUCUUCUUUUUAGUACAAUAAAUCAUGUUCAAAUUGUACUUUAAAAACACUCAAAAUCAUCAAUGUUGUAGAUUUAACAUAAUAUUUACAUGACAAAACUGAUCAUACCUCAAUUAAUAUACUAAAUGUGUCAGAAAUUAUAAGAUAUAUGGUUCAAAUCCUUCUAUCCAAUUGUACUUAAAAAAAAAAAAAAAGAAUCACAUAAAUGUGUCAGAAAUUAUAAGAUAUAUGGUUCAAAUCCUUCUAUCCAAUUGUACUUAAAAAAAAAAAAAAAGAAUCACAUGGUAGAAAAAUCAAUACUAAUGCAAGUAGUCUCUAUCAAAUAAACAUAAAUCAAUACUAAUGCAAGUAGUCUCUAUCAAAUAAACAUGGACACUAAUGAAUGAACUAUUUAUUCAAGUACAAAGUUAAAACUAGCAAAAAUAAUAAUAAUAAAUAAAUAAAAUAAAAUAAAAUAAAAUAACUAAAUUUUAAGUGACGAAAUUGAAGACAAAAAACAUUUGACUUAAUUUUGCUAGGAUCGCAGUGUUCUUUGGAUUUUUUUUGUAUUUUUUCGACUGCAUUUUGAUAUAAAUUUUUGUGAGAAAAGAAUGACACAUGUGUACAUAUCUACCCACAGAGUUUGAAGCAUUAAGAAGUGGCAAAAUGGUUUUAGAAGAAUUUGUUAGAGCAUUAAAACCAUGAAGCAAUAGAUAUAUUUAUAACAAUUUUGUAGGAUCUGUGGUAAGACUUUCAAUGUAAUGUACAUGUACUCCCUAACAGCUUCUUGUAAAACCUAUACCGAUGGUUAUUAAUUGAUGUGUUUGUAUAAUUAACCUUAUGAUCAAUUUAUAUAUGUAACACUUUUUUAUGUUCA